rnacentral:tRNA from 1 species
GGCGAAUAUAACUCAGUUGGUUAGAGUAUUAGUUUGUGGCACUAAAAGUCGUAAGUUCGAGCCUUACUAUUCGCC